AGCGAACGCUGGCGGCAGGCCUAACACAUGCAAGUCGAACGAACCUUUCGGGGUUAGUGGCGGACGGGUGAGUAACACGUGGGAACGUGCCUUUAGGUUCGGAAUAACUCAGGGAAACUUGUGCUAAUACCGAAUGUGCCCUUCGGGGGAAAGAUUUAUCGCCUUUAGAGCGGCCCGCGUCUGAUUAGCUAGUUGGUUGAGGUAAUGGCUCACCAAGGCGACGAUCAGUAGCUGGUCUGAGAGGAUGAUCAGCCACAUUGGGACUGAGACACGGCCCAAACUCCUACGGGAUGCAGCAGUGGGGAAUCUUGCGCAAUGGGCGAAAGCCUGACGCAGCCAUGCCGCGUGAAUGCUGAAGGUCUUAGGAUUGUAAAAUUCUUUCACCGGGGACGAUAAUGACGGUACCCGGAGAAGAAGCCCCGGCUAACUUCGUG
rnacentral:rRNA from 1 species